rnacentral:pre_miRNA from 1 species
CCAACAAAAGAUGUCUUAACUUUGACUAAAUUUGGAUGCAUCUAUACACGAAGUUGUGUAUAGAUGCAUCCAAAUUUAGUCAAACUUGAGACAUCUUUUGUUGG